CUUAGUGGCGGACGGGUGAGUAACGCGUGAGUAACCUGCCUUUCAGAGGGGGAUAACGUUCUGAAAAGAACGCUAAUACCGCAUAAGCGCACAGGAUUGCAUGAUCCGGUGUGAAAAACUCCGGUGGUAUGAGAUGGACCCGCGUCUGAUUAGCCAGUUGGCAGGGUAACGGCCUACCAAAGCGACGAUCAGUAGCCGACCUGAGAGGGUGACCGGCCACAUUGGGACUGAGACACGGCCCAAACUCCUACGGGAGGCAGCAUG
rnacentral:rRNA from 1 species